UGGGCUCACAGUCGUUUACAUUGGACUCACAAUGUCGACCUUCAAAUCCUUUGAUACAGUUACAUUUGUAUGAACCAUUUAAAUUCUGACAAGAUUCAGUAGUUGAUGGAAUACAAGCCUCUGAUCCUUGUGCUUAUUUUUAGAUGAGCAGUGCUGGUUCACCAACUGUUGAAAUUCAUCUCUAUCGUAAUUAAAUCUCAAUUGCUUCCUGAACAGAUCAAAUUUCACCGAAAGUUGAGAUGGUUAUUCAGAAGGAGAUUUAAAAUUAAGAUUAAGAUGAAAAAUGCUGCGAUGAAAGAUACUUAAUACUUAUCAUAAGACACAAUGAGAGAUAUUCAACUAAUUGUUACCUUCUUGACAUCGAUCACCAGUGAAUCCUGGAGGACAAAUACAUUGAUAUCCAUUAAUAAGAUCGAUACAUUUACCAUCAUUCAAACAGGGAUUAGAUGAACACUCGUUCACAUUAAUCUGACAACGAUUACCAGUCCAACCCUGAGGGCAAUUACAGAUGAACGAUGAGUUACUGACUUCGAAACACGUUCCACCAUGAAGACAUGGACUCGUUACACAUGGAUUGACCACUUAAUCGAAAGAGAGAGGAAGAAAUCAGAGGUUAAUUAAAUUAACUUUAAUUGUUAAAACGACUUUUUAAUCACUCCAAAGCAUUUGUAUGAAAAUGAUUCAUCCAAAGUGCUCAUUUAAACGCAACAAUUUAAAGGUAAACAUCUGACAUCUUUUGAUAGAAAUGAGAACGAGGAAUGAUAAUCAAAUCAAAUCCAAUGAAUCAGUUAAUCAACCAACAGAAUCUAAAUUGAUCUUCAUAACCAUUAGAUAAUAUUAGAUGAAAUUGUUUGAUAAUAUAACCAAGGAAAAGUUAUCAUUCGGCAGCCCAAAGAAAGCCAGAAAACAAGACGAAUCGGUAAAUAUUUUCAUAGGCGUAUCAAGUCAGGUCACUUUAAUGAUAUUCAAGGAAUAAAACUUGUUACAUUGAUUAUUGGAUGGAAACGGAUUUACUGAUCACCAUUGAUUGACUAACCACGAUUGUUAAUAGAAAACAAUCAACAAAUAAUCUAAUAAAUAUGGGUUACAAGUACUUUUCGUCUACUAAAUAAUAAUCAAAGGAACCAUGAAAAUCUGCUGAUUGUUAUAUUGCCUUAGGCUUCUGGUCGUAGAAACGGUUUCGCGAUCCUCCUUAAAUCGUGAUUAUAAUCUGAUCCUUAUCCUUAUCCUCAUCUUCAUCUUCAUCAUCAUCAUUAAAUUGUCUUGGUAGCAACAUAGAGAUUAAAUUAACCACGAAUUGGAUGGAAACUGUUUCUGUCAAUUGACUUGAUUGUUGGAAAAAUUUAACAUUGUCUUCAAUUACUUUUUGGUUUAGUUUUUCAAGGACAAGAUUAACUGUUGAUUAAAUACUUGUUAAUUACUUGUUACAAUCAAUAUCUGAUCAAAGUAAAGUUUUCAAUUUCCACUGUACAACAAUUUAAAUUUAAAAGGAAAACAUAACAUCCGUUUAGUGGAUUUACUAUUCAAUUAGUUAAUUGCAACUAUACUGGAUCAAGAAAAUCAUCAACGAGAAUAGUUGAUUGUUGAUAAAAUAAUCUAAAGAAAUUAUAUUAAAUAUUCAACGAUGAAUAUUAAUUAAGUGCUUCUUAAAUAACAUCAACAGUAGCCAAUUUAUCAGUAGUUUAAAUCAUUUGUAAAUCAUCAAAGUGAUCAUCAAUUUAGAGCUUCCGUUUAGAUUGAACAAUUAUCAAAUUACAAUUUAACGUAUACUAAGUUGAACAAUUAAUAUCAUGAAAUAUCAACAAACUAUUUAAUAUACAAUAUGAAUGAACAAUUGGUGAAUAUAAACUCAUCACCAUUUAAAUUAAAUUGUCAAGUCAAGUGUCGAUGGUAACAAAUUAUCAAUACACUUGAAUGCAAUUUAAUAUCCCAAUUGAAAUCGAUAUUGCAAUCAAUUGAUUAUCAUAAGAGAGCAUGAAUUAUCCCAUCUGCCGUAAUCGCAAUUAACUUAAUCACCAUAAACAAAGACACACUCCCAGAGCAAUUAAUGAAUCGCUCAAAAAAAAAAACAAAAUCAAUGAAUCAGAAUAAAUUGAUCAACUUACCGA